GCCCUUUUGGCCAAGUGGUAAGGCGUCUCACUCGUAAUGAGAAGACCGAUGGUUCGAUCCCGUCAAAGGGCA
rfam:Pichia pastoris GS115 chromosome 3, complete sequence